rnacentral:rRNA from 1 species
GACGAACGCUGGCGGCGUGCCUAACACAUGCAAGUCGAACGGAAGUAAGUGCUUCGGUAUUUACUUUAGUGGCGAACGGGUGAGUAACGCGUGAGGAACCUGCCUUUCAGUGGGGGACAACAGUUGGAAACGACUGCUAAUACCGCAUGACGCUUCUUAGGGGCAUCCCUGAGAAGUCAAAGCUUUAUGUGCUGAAAGAUGGCCUCGCGUCUGAUUAGCUAGUUGGUGGGGUAACGGCCCACCAAGGCAACGAUCGGUAGCCGGACUGAGAGGUUGAACGGCCACAUUGGGACUGAGACACGGCCCAG